AGUCGAACGAUGAUCAGGAGCUUGCUCUUGUGAUUAGUGGCGAACGGGUGAGUAACACGUGAGUAACCUGCCCCUGACUCUGGGAUAAGCGUUGGAAACGACGUCUAAUACUGGAUAUGACUUCCGGCCGCAUGGUCUGGUUGUGGAAAGAUUUUUUGGUUGGGGAUGGACUCGCGGCCUAUCAGCUUGUUGGUGAGGUAAUGGCUCACCAAGGCGACGACGGGUAGCCGGCCUGAGAGGGUGACCGGCCACACUGGGACUGAGACACGGCCCAGACUCCUACGGGAGGCAGCAGUGGGGAAUAUUGCACAAUGGGCGAAAGCCUGAUGCAGCAACGCCGCGUGAGGGAUGACGGCCUUCGGGUUGUAAACCUCUUUUAGUAGGGAAGAAGCGAAAGUGACGGUACCUGCAGAAAAAGCACCGGCUAACUACGUGCCAGCAGCCGCGGUAAUACGUAGGGUGCAAGCGUUGUCCGGAAUUAUUGGGCGUAAAGAGCUCGUAGGCGGUUUGUCGCGUCUGCUGUGAAAUCCCGAGGCUCAACCUCGGGCUUGCAGUGGGUACGGGCAGACUAGAGUGCGGUAGGGGAGAUUGGAAUUCCUGGUGUAGCGGUGGAAUGCGCAGAUAUCAGGAGGAACACCGAUGGCGAAGGCAGAUCUCUGGGCCGUAACUGACGCUGAGGAGCGAAAGCAUGGGGAGCGAACAGGAUUAGAUACCCUGGUAGUCCAUGCCGUAAACGUUGGGCGCUAGAUGUAGGGACCUUUCCACGGUUUCUGUGUCGUAGCUAACGCAUUAAGCGCCCCGCCUGGGGAGUACGGCCGCAAGGCUAAAACUCAAAGGAAUUGAC
rnacentral:rRNA from 1 species